AGCAGCCGCGGUAAUUCCAGCUCCAAUAGCGUAUAUUAAAGUUGUUGCAGUUAAAAAGCUCGUAGUUGAAUUUCGGGAUCAGACUGUCGGUCGUGCCUCGGUACGCACUGGCAUUAUUGGUUCCUACCUUCUGAAGAACCGCGAUGUCAUUAAUUUGGUGUCGCGGGGAAUCAGGACUGUUACUUUGAAAAAAUUAGAGUGUUUAAAGCAGGCUUACGCUUGAAUACAUUAGCAUGGAAUAAUGAAAUAGGACGUUUGAUUCUAUUUUGUUGGUUUCUAGGAUCGACGUAAUGAUUAAUAGGGAUAGUUGGGGGCAUUAGUAUUCAAUUGUCAGAGGUGAAAUUCUUGGAUUUAUUGAAGACUAACUACUGCGAAAGCAUUUGCCAAGGAUGUUUUCAUUAAUCAAGAACGAAAGUUAGGGGAUCGAAGACGAUCAGAUACCGUCGUAGUCUUAACCAUAAACUAUGCCGACUAGGGAUCGGAUGAUGUUAAUUUUAUAAUGACUCAUUCGGCGCCUUACG
rnacentral:rRNA from 1 species